rnacentral:rRNA from 1 species
GGUGAACGCUGGCGGCGUGCCUAAUACAUGCAAGUCGAGCGAACGGACGAGAAGCUUGCUUUUCUGAUGUUAGCGGCGGACGGGUGAGUAACACGUGGAUAACCUACCUAUAAGACUGGGAGAACUUCGGGAAACCGGAGCUAAUACCGGAUAAUAUUUUGAACCGCAUGGUUCAAAAGUGAAAGACGGUCUUGCUGUCACUUAUAGAUGGAUCCGCGCUGCAUUAGCUAGUUGGUAAGGUAACGGCUUACCAAGGCAACGAUGCAUAGCCGACCUGAGAGGGUGAUCGGCCACACUGGAACUGAGACACGGUCCAGACUCCUACGGGAGGCAGCAGUAGGGAAUCUUCCGCAAUGGGCGAAAGCCUGACGGAGCAACGCCGCGUGAGUGAUGAAGGUCUUCGUAUCGUAAAACUCUGUUAUUAGGGAAGAACAUAUGUGUAAGUAACUGUGCACAUCUUGACGGUACCUAAUCAGAAAGCCACGGCUAACUACGUG